GCCAUCUUCAAAGAGCUCUAUCUCCCUUAGGAAUCAUUUUUGGACUAGGUGGGUUAAAAUGUCUUAAAAUUAUCUGAGGAAUCUCCUGUCUUCGUUUGUCGGUAGAGUUUCUGGACACCCUGUAUAUUACAAAAGACUAAGAUACAAGACCAUAAUUCAACUGAUAGUGAGCUAAGGAUGUGAAACUUGGAUAUUAACUGAAAAAUCUGUAAACCGCAUGGAUAUCUCUGAUAGAGAGGUACUCAGACAAAUACUAGACCUUAUAAGGGAGAACAACAGGUAGCGAAUCAGAUACAAUUAUAAAAUACAUAUAAUAAUAUAUAAAGAACAUUUGCUCAUACUUCCACAUAAUCCAGAGAUUGCUGGAACAUUUUGUAGCGAAGUUAUGAACAAAGGUGGAACAUUUUUGGAUACAAGAAUCUACAGGUCGAGCAAGUCUCGUAAAUUUCACGAUUGCGAGCCACGCUUCACGCAACCGUGUUUACGUACUUGUGUUUCGAGUUGCGUGGUCGUGCGGAGUUAUAUUUACCAAAUUUAAAUAUAAUCGUUUCUACUGAUCAUAAUAUAUCAUGUCAAAAUUAAAUCAAUAUGUCAAUAUGGCUACUGGGUGUAAAAGAUAAAUCUUAUUCUAUCUGUUCUUAAUGAGUUUUAGAUAAUUUUAGUUGUAUUUCUUUGUAAUUUUGUGUUGUACAAAGAUUAAUUUAACAUUUACUCUGGAAGUAUUAAUUUAGAAAGAUAAUAUGCUUCAUUGGUGUUGUGUUUUGAAGUGUGAAAUGCAAAGUAAUUGUGAUAAAGUCAAGAUAAAGUUCACUUUUAAACUGAACUAAAUAAGGUAUCUGAGAGACAACAAUGGUUAAAUGCAAUACAAUGUACAGGUUUUACUAGCGAAAUGAAAAUUUUCCUGUCCUGUCUGCUGUAAUCAUUUUAUAUCUGGAAAACCAACCGACUUAAUCGAUAAUAACAAUCUCCAGAUUGGGUUCCUUCAAUAAAUAUGGGCUAUUAACACAAUGAAAUAAGUUCCAGAAAAUCUAAAAUGGACUGGUAUCAAAGGAGAAUUAAAGGAAAAAAUAUUCAUAUUGAAAUUAUUUAUAAGGCACUGGACUGUCUUAAAUUCUACAAUAAUACUAGAAUCAGCUGAGAGAAGUGGUCUACAAAAAAACCAGGAAGGAAACAGAAUAUGUGGCUACGAAAGGCAAAAGAAAGGUUUACAAAGCAAAUGUGACACAUUUUUUUGAAAUAUUUAGGAAUAUCAGUAAAUUGCAUUAAAAAAAUGUAUGAAAAGAUUUUGUUCAAUAAAAAUGUUUAUAUUUA